rnacentral:lncRNA from 1 species
GAAGUGUAGUAAAAAAUCCAGAGUCAUCACAAUUAGUGUAGUUUGUCUGUUUGUGCAAUGUUGCCAACCAAAAACACUUCAACCCAAAGCCAAGGAGAUUUUCUCAACUCUUCUCUCUAGGCCUGAGAAAGUAGAUAUGUAUGAGACAACUAAUUGCAGGAAAUUCACUUCAACAAAAUAUAAAUCUUCAGAUAGUUUCUCCUAGCCAGCAAACGAAUGAUUACAGGUUAUUCUCAUCCUUGUAAGUGAUGGUGCUGCCCUGAAUAAUAAUUUCAGAAAAUAUAGUUCAUGUUUCUUUCCUUUGAAGUUGGUAAGCUCUACUUCUGGGAGUAACUUCGUCAGAACAUUCUGAGCUCCCUAGCUUGGUGGUUGAUGGCAGAAGCAAUUCAAUGAACAUGAUUCUUCCCCCUGAAAUGAAAAAAAUAUUUAGGUCUAGUUGAAGUUAUAGUUUUGGAAUAAAAACAAAACUAAGAUAUGAAUAUACUGAUUCUCUUAUGAGAUGUUAAGCUGGAGACAGCAUAAGUAGAUUAUAAAAAAGAGUUACAGCUUAGAAGAAAAAAAUAUUUUAAGGGUAAACUCAAUAAGAAAAUAUCUUUUUUAGAUUCCAUCUAAUGUUGUCAUCUAAUAUUUUUUCUAAUUCAAUGCAAGUGAAAGUGCUUCAGUUUUUCAGCAAAAUUAUUUUUAUUGUCUCGUAAAAAACUGUAGUACCUCAGGUGCCCUUUCAAAUUUUAUUGACUCUAAGUUUUUAAUACCUAUUAUCACGUGUAAGGAGCAAACAUAAUUGCUUGGCGAUCUCUAAAUGAAAGCUUAGCGUCUUGUUAGUUUUGCUAUACAAAUUGGCUAAAGGAGACUAUAAUAGCAUGUCACUUGCAGUUAGUAGUCUUGCUUCGUGUAAUAGCACCGGAAAGUAUAGAAUUGAAUUUUACUGCUAGAUGUCCUUGAAGAUGGAAUUACUACUUAAAGUAUAUAAUUAUGUAUUUAUGUAGUUAUGCAUUGCUACUUAACUUAUAUAACAACAUUUGCAUUUUGCCUUGACCAUUACACAACAAAUAAUUACCUAGAUGCGAUGCUUAUCGUAGAAAAUAAAAACAAUGAAGAAUUCGGCCCAUCUUUAAAUCCCACAAAACCUUGAUAUGAGACUCAAAGCCUCAAAAUCCUAUAUAUGAAAGAAUGAGAUGUAGUGUUUUGCAUAAAUAGUAGAACGAAUGCAUUCUAUUUAUCUUUGCUUCCUCCACACCAUUACUCACGAUCUAUGGUGAUCCUAGACCUUUUUUUUUUGUGAGGGUGAUCCUACACCAGUUCAUUAUAUUGUGCUGGCACAUCUAUCAUUGUGAAUAUCAAUGUAAUAUUUAUCAUGAUUCUAGCCAUACAGAAAUUUGUGCCUUGCUCUUCAUCACUCCAUUUGCUGGUGUCGUCUCUUCUAUCUGAGCCGAUCUACAAUAGUAGGCCACAGCGUGGGAAGACUAGGGAUGGCAAUGGGUCCCCGUCCCCCGAUUCCCCGCGGUGAAUCCUGCUAUUAGGAGCCGGGGGUGGUAUGAAUUAUGCCUCCAUGGAGGAUUAAAUGGAGGAAAAAUAGGCUCCAUCGGGUCUGGUGGGGGCGGGUAUGGUUCACCGUCCCCCGUCCCCGCCCUCCGUGGAGGCCCGAUGCAACAAUGUGUGUGCUUCGUUUUAUGUAUAUUUGGCCUAGUUAGCCCAUAGAAACCAGGCCCAAAACAUAGAGUAUAUAAUGAAAAACCCUAGGCACCACCCACACAGGGGAUACAACUCCACUCCCUUCUGUCCCUGUUCCCCACGCCGCCGUCCCAGGCUCCCAGCGGCACCGUCCCGUGCAGGGCCACCCCGCGCGCCUGUGAGCGCUGCCAGCGCCGCCUCUCCUCGCCUCCACGGCCUUUCUCUCGGCGGCGCCGAGGACUCAGCAGUUAGCACCGGGAGUCGACCUUCUUUCCUGCCCUCCCUUUGUUCGUUCCAAAUUUACGAUGCGUCACAUUUGGGCUUAUUUGUUUUACUCUGCUGGGAUGGUGGAUGCAGGUGAAGGCUACGACAGCAAAGAAAGGGGAAAACGACGGGUCCACAUGAACGGCUAGUAGUGUUGUUGCCUGUUGCAUCUGAUGAACGGUCAGCAGUGCUGUUGCUGCAGUGCCGUUGCCUGUUGCAUGUGAUGAAGAGCUUGUGAGCUUGUUGCGACGUGCAUUUGUGAACCUGUGAUAUGAAUUUGUGAACUUGUAUUCUUGUAUAAUUAUGUUGUUGCUGAUGUGCUGAAAUUGCUGUUUUUAGUGAUAAAUCUUGUGUAUGAGAAUUAUUAUUUGAUAUAUGAAAUAUACAUGCUGAAAAACUUGAGAGCGGGGAUGGAGCCUCCAUGUGGAUAAAUUACCCACACGGAGGCGGUGAUGGUGAAAGAUGCUGUCCCAUUGCAUUUCACGGGGGCGGGGACGGGGGAAAUUCUCCUCCGUGGGGGCGGGUCUGGUUAUGUAUCCUCCGACGGGGAAUUCCCCGUUGCCACCUCUAGGGAAGAUAGAUAGGAGGGGAUGGGAUAUAUUGAGUAUGUAACUUACCAGAUACCUGGGAUGGGAUUCAGUGGGUUAGGGAGGAAGAGAUGGCGACACUGUUUUGUUGGAGUCCUUCAGCUUGAAUUUGUGAUUUGAUUUUUUGACCUCGAUCCACCAUCGUCGACCUUGAUCUUGCUCCGUUCUUUGGAGCUGUGAUUCAGAUCGAUGGGGAAGCGUAGCGGGGGCGGCGGAAAACGCUGUGGUGGGUGGUGGUGCGGAUGGGGAGGUGUGGUGGAAGGGUGGACAGUGGAGGCGAGGCGGCGGCGGUGGCCGGUGGAGGCGACGGCAAUAGGGGCGGAGAGCGAAGACGAAAGAGACAGCUGUGCAC